rnacentral:lncRNA from 1 species
AAGGAUUGAAGCUUCUGUUGUGAGGUAAAUGCUGUGCUCGAAAACUCCUUUUCCUAUCUCUUCAUUUUCUUUGUUCUUUGAUGGUUUAGCAUGACUAUGGAGUGAGGAAUUAGUGCGAUUGGCUGAUAUAUCAAACCUUUUAUCUUUGUAGAGGUGUGGCACAGUGGCUGGAUUGAUCCCUGUGUGUAUCUUGGGCAUAGCUAUAUGCUAUAGGUGUGUGCGUGUGUACUUUGUUUAGUACUCCUUCCUCCCACUUCAACUC